rnacentral:rRNA from 1 species
CCUACGGGUGGCAGCAGGAGGGAAUAUUGCUCAAUGGGGGAAACCCUGAAGCAGCAACGCCGCGUGGAGGAUGAAGGUUUUCGGAUUGUAAACGCCUUUUGUUAGAGAAGAGAAUGACGGUAUCUAACGAAUAAGCACCGGCUAACUCCGUGCCAGCAGCCGCGGUAAUACGGAUGGUGCAAGCGUUACUCGGAACCACUGGGCGUAAAGAGCGCGUAGGCGGGAUAGCAAGUCAGAUGUGAAAUCCUAUGGCUUAACCAUAGAACUGCAUUUGAAACUGUUAUUCUAGAGUAUGGGAGAGUUAGGUUGUAUUCUUUGUGUCGCUGUCACAUCC